UACGUAGGGGGGCUAGCGUUGCUCGGAAUCACUGGGCGUAAAGCGCACGUAGGCGGCUUUCUAAGUCAGGGGUGAAAUCCUGGAGCUCAACUCCAGAACUGCCUUUGAUACUGGAGAGCUCGAGUCCGGAAGAGGUGAGUGGAACUGCGAGUGUAGAGGUGAAAUUCGUAGAUAUCGCAAGAACACCAGUGGCGAAGGCGGCUCACUGGUCCGGUACUGACGCUGAGGUGCGAAAGCGUGGGGAGCAAACAGGG
rnacentral:rRNA from 1 species